UACGAAGGGGGCUAGCGUUGCUCGGAAUUACUGGGCGUAAAGCGCACGUAGGCGGAUUGUUAAGUCGGGGGUGAAAUCCUGGAGCUCAACUCCAGAACUGCCUCCGAUACUGACGAGUCUUCGAGUCCGGGAGAGGUGAGUGGAACUGCGAGUGUAGAGGUGAAAUUCGUAGAUAUUCGCAAGAACACCAGUGGCGAAGGCGGCUCACUGGCCCGGUAUGACGCUGAGGUGCGAAAGCGUGGGGAGCAA
rnacentral:rRNA from 1 species